rnacentral:rRNA from 1 species
ACGAACGCUGGCGGCACGCUUAACACAUGCAAGUCGAACGAGAGAAGAGAAGCUUGCUUUUCUGAUCUAGUGGCGGACGGGUGAGUAACACGUGAGCAAUCUGCCUUUCAGAGGGGGAUACCGAUUGGAAACGAUCGUUAAUACCGCAUAAUAUAAUUGAACCGCAUGAUUUGAUUAUCAAAGAUUUAUCGCUGAAAGAUGAGCUCGCGUCUGAUUAGCUAGUUGGUAAGGUAACGGCUUACCAAGGCGACGAUCAGUAGCCGGACUGAGAGGUUGAUCGGCCACAUUGGGACUGAGACACGGCCCAGACUCCUACGGGAGGCAGCAGUGGGGAAUAUUGCACAAUGGAGGAAACUCUGAUGCAGCGAUGCCGCGUGAGGGAAGAAGGUUUUAGGAUUGUAAACCUCUGUCUUCAGGGACGAAAAAAGACGGUACCUGAGGAGGAAGCUCCGGCUAACUACGUGCCAGCAGCCGCGGUAAUACGUAGGGAGCGAGCGUUGUCCGGAAUUACUGGGUGUAAAGGGAGCGUAGGCGGGAUCGCAAGUCAGAUGUGAAAACUAUGGGCUUAACCCAUAAACUGCAUUUGAAACUGUGGUUCUUGAGUGAAGUAGAGGUAAGCGGAAUUCCUAGUGUAGCGGUGAAAUGCGUAGAUAUUAGGAGGAACAUCAGUGGCGAAGGCGGCUUACUGGGCUUUAACUGACGCUGAGGCUCGAAAGCGUGGGGAGCAAACAGGAUUAGAUACCCUGGUAGUCCACGCCGUAAACGAUGAUUACUAGGUGUGGGGGGACUGACCCCUUCCGUGCCGCAGCAAACGCAAUAAGUAAUCCACCUGGGGAGUACGACCGCAAGGUUGAAACCCAAAGGAAUUGACGGGGGCCCGCACAAGCAGUGGAGUAUGUGGAUUAAUUCGAAGCAACGCGAAGAACCUUACCAGGUCUUGACAUCGUAUGCAUAGCUCAGAGAUGAGUGAAAUCUCUUCGGAGACAUAUAGACAGGUGGUGCAUGGUUGUCGUCAGCUCGUGUCGUGAGAUGUUGGGUUAAGUCCCGCAACGAGCGUAACCCUUACUGUUAGUUGCUACGCAAGAGCACUCUAGCAGGACUGCCGUUGACAAAACGGAGGAAGGUGGGGAUGACGUCAAAUCAUCAUGCCCCUUAUGACCUGGGCCUCACACGUACUACAAUGGCUGUUAACAGAGGGAUGCAAAGCCGCGAGGUGGAGCGAACCCCUAAAAGCAGUCUUAGUUCGGAUUGUAGGCUGCAACCCGCCUACAUGAAGUCGGAAUUGCUAGUAAUCGCAGAUCAGCAUGCUGCGGUGAAUACGUUCCCGGGCCUUGUACACACCGCCCGUCACGCCAUGGGAGUCGGUAACACCCGAAGCCUGUAGUCUAACCGCAAGGAGGACGCAGUCGAAGGUGGGAUUGAUGACUGGGGUG